rnacentral:rRNA from 1 species
AUUGAACGCUGGCGGCAGGCUUAACACAUGUAAGUCGAGCGAGCGGCGGACGGGUGAGUAAUGUCUGGGAAACUGCCUGAUGGAGGGGGAUAACUACUGGAAACGGUAGCUAAUACCGCAUACCAUCAGAUGAUCCCAUAUGGGAUUAGCUAGUAGGUGGGGUAAUGGCUCACCUAGGCGACGAUCCCUAGCUGGUCUGAGAGGAUGACCAGCAACACUGGAACUGAGACACGGUCCAGACGCCUACGGGAGGCAGCAGUGGGGAAUAUUGCACAAUGGGCGCAAGCCUGAUGCAGCCAUGCCGCGUGUGUGAAGAAGGCCUUCGGGUUGUAAAGCACUUUCAGCGAGGAGGCGUUACUGGCAGAAGAAGCACCGGCUAACUCCGUGCCAGCAGCCGCGGUAAUAC